CAAUAGCGUAUAUUAAAGUUGUUGCAGUUAAAAAGCUCGUAGUUGGAUUUCUGGUGGGAGCGAUCGGUCUGGCGCUUAGCGCGAGUACUUGCAUCGUCUCCGGCCAUCCUUGGGGAGAGUCUGUCUGGCAUUAGGUUGUCGGGCAGAGGAUCCUCAUCGUUUACUGUGAAAAAAUUAGAGUGUUCAUAGCAGGCUUAUGCCGUUGAAUAUAUUAGCAUGGAAUAAUAAGAUAGGACUUUGGUACUAUUUUGUUGGUUUGCGCACCAAAGUAAUGAUUAAUAGGGACAGUUGGGGGUAUUCGUAUUCCGUUGUCAGAGGUGAAAUUCUUGGAUUUACGGAAGACGAACUACUGCGAAAGCAUUUACCAAGGAUGUUUUCAUUAA
rnacentral:rRNA from 1 species